GGCCGUAGCUCAGUGGUAGAGUGCUUGCCUAGCAUGUGUGAGGCAAUGGGUUCGAUUCUCAUCACCA
rnacentral:tRNA from 1 species